CUGGAAAGUUCAACCAAAGAAGGUGAUAGUCCUGUAGGCGAAAUGGUAGCAGACUUCCUUAAUAGAGUUCCCGAGUACCACGGGGCACGUGAAACCCUGUGGGAAACUGGAGAGACCACUCUCCAAGGCUAAAUACUCUCUCGUGACCGAUAGUGCACUAGUACCGGUGAGGGAAAGGUGAAAAGUACUCCGAGAAGGAGAGUGAAAUAGUACCUGAAACCGUACGCUUACAAGCAGUCGGAGGGGGCUUGUCCCCUGACGGCGUGCCUUUUGCAUAAUGAGCCGGCGAGUUACUUGUAUGCAGCAAGGUUAACUCACUCAGUGAGGUAGCCGAAGCGAAAGCGAGUCUUAAUAGGGCGAUAUAGUUGCAUGCAGUAGACCCGAAGCCAGGUGAUCUACCCAUGGCCAGGAUGAAGCGUGAGUAAAAUCACGUGGAGGUCCGAACCGGUGUACGUUGAAAAGUGCUCGGAUGAGCUGUGGGUAGGGGUGAAAGGCCAAUCAAACCUGGAGAUAGCUGGUUCUCCCCGAAAUAGCUUUAGGGCUAGCCUCUUGAUAGAGAGUCGUGGAGGUAGAGCACUGGAUCGGCUAGGGGGCUUACCCGCUUACCAAACCGAACCAAACUCCGAAUGCCAUAGACUUGUUUCAAGGGAGUCAGCGUGCGAGGGAUAAACUCCGUACGCGAGAGGGAAACAACCCAGACCGUCAGCUAAGGUCCCUAAGUGUAGGCUAAGUGAUUAAAAGGAUGUGAGAUUGCUGAGACAGCUAGGAUGUUGGCUUAGAAACAGCCACCAUUUAAAGAGUACGUAACAGUUCACUAGUCAAGUGAUUUCGCGCCGACAAUGUAUCGGGGCUAAGUUUACCACCGAAGCUACGGACUCAGCAGCCGCUUGCGGUUGCUGUUUGGUAGGGGAGCGUUCCAUAGUAGGCUGAAGGUAAACCGUAAGGUUUGCUGGACGAGAUGGAAGUGAUUAUGUCGGCAUGAGUAGCGAUAAUGCGGGUGAGAAUCCCGCACACCGAAAAUCUAAGGUUUCCUGGGCUAGGCUCGUCCUCCUGGGGUUAGUCGGGACCUAAGCUGAGGCCGAAAGGCGUAGGCGAUGGAAAACAGGCUAAAUAUUCCUGUACCACUUACAGCGUGUUUGAGCUAUGGGGUGACGCAGAAGUGAAAGGUCAGCCAGCGAUUGGAAAUGCUGGUCUAAGCCUGUAGGAGGGUCGUCUAGGUAAAUCCGGAUGACCACUACUCUGAGAGGCGAUGGGGAGCCGCUUAGCGGCAUAAACUGACCCUAAUCAGGCUGCCAAGAAAAACCUCUAUGUGAAUUCUGUAGGUGCCCGUACCGCAAACCGACACAGGUAGAUGAGGAGAGUAUCCAAAGGUGCGCGAGUGAACCCUCGUUAAGGAAUUCGGCAAAAUGAUCCCGUAACUUCGGAAGAUGGGAUGCCCUAAGUAGGUGAUACCCCUCGCGGGUGGAGCCCAAAGGGGCCGCAGAGAAACGGGCUGGGCGACUGUUUACCAAAAACACAGGUCUCUGCUAAGCCGUAAGGCAAUGUAUAGGGACUGACACGUGCCCGGUGCCGGUAAGUUAAGAGGAUGAGUUAGUCUUCGGACGAAGCUUUGAAUCGAAGCUCCGGUAAACGGCGGCCGUAACUAUAACGGUCCUAAGGUAGCGAAAUUUCCUCGUCGGCUAAAAACCGACCUGCACGAAUCGUGUAACGACUUGGCCGCUGUCUCAACGAGGGACUCGGUGAAAUUGUAGUUCCGGUGAAGAUGCCGGAUACCCGCGGCAGGACAGAAAGACCCCGUGAACCUUUACUAUAGCUUGGUAUUGGAUUUUGACACUGUAUGUGUAGGAUAGGUGGGAGGCUUUGAAGCGGGAGCGCCAGCUCUCGUGGAGCCAAUCUUGAAAUACCACCCUUGCCUUGUUAAAAUUCUAACCUAAUCCCUUGAUCGGGAUUGGAGACAGUGCCAGGUGGGUAGUUUAACUGGGGCGGUUGCCUCCUAAAGCGUAACGGAGGCGCCCAAUGGUUCCCUCAGCGCGGUCGGUAAUCGCGCGUAGAGUGUAAAGGCAUACAGGGAGCUUGACUGCGAGACUUACAAGUCGAGCAGGUGCGAAAGCAGGGCUUAGUGAUCCGACGGUUGCAUGUGGAAGCGCCGAAGCUCAACGGAUAAAAGGUACUCCGGGGAUAACAGGCUUAUUGCCCCCAAGCGCUCAUAGCGACGGGGCAGUUUGGCACCUCGAUGUCGGCUCAGCGCAUCCUGGGGCUGGAGAAGGUCCCAAGGGUUUGGCUGUUCGCCAAUU
rnacentral:rRNA from 1 species